UACGUAGGGUGCAAGCGUUGUCCGGAAUUAUUGGGCGUAAAGAGCUCGUAGGCGGUCUGUCGCGUCGGCUGUGAAAACCCGGGGCUCAACCCCGGGCCUGCAGUCGAUACGGGCAGACUAGAGUGUGGUAGGGGAGACUGGAAUUCCUGGUGUAGCGGUGAAAUGCGCAGAUAUCAGGAGGAACACCGGUGGCGAAGGCGGGUCUCUGGGCUAUAACUGACGCUGAGGAGCGAAAGCGUGGGGAGCGAACAGG
rnacentral:rRNA from 1 species